rnacentral:lncRNA from 1 species
AAAAAUUUACGGACGCCAUCAUGACAUCAUGAGUUGGUUGACUGUAAUCUGUUAUAGAAUGUCUAUUUCAAAAAUUUUGUAAAUUUGGCAUAGGCGGAUCCAGGGGGGAUUCUUUGGGUGCUCAGUCUUUAUUUUAUGUUGUGUUUUGUGUACUGUUUUUUCGUCGUCUUUCGUUAUUUCCACGACAUUGUCAGCUUGAAUGUCUAUACAGUCAAUCUUUUUAUCCAGGGAUAGAUUACCUAAGCAUUAUUUGGAAUUGUGGGUCUUGAAUGCUCUUCAACUUU